rnacentral:lncRNA from 1 species
GCCUUCCACCAUUAUUGUGAGACUUUCCCAGCCACGUGGAACUGCAUUUAUGAAGUAGGGACCUGGAAUUGAAGAGACUCCUAAAGGAGAGACAGAAGUUUGAAAGAGCAAGAAGAGUGGAUGUGGAUCCAGACAGAAAAAGAGAACAGCAAAUAUUUGAAAGAGCUUAAGACGUACUCCUCAAGGUACCACAGAUAGAAGCCUUGAGAAGCUUACUUUGGUCAGAAAUUUUGCCUUUGUCUGCAGGCUUCUACCAGUUCGAUUCCAUCUGUGGGUCUUAGGUUUCAGUUACCUGAAGUCAAAUGUGGUCCAAUACACAGACUGGAAUAAGAGACAUUGGAGACUCCAAAAGAAUAUUUUCUGGUAGACUGAUAUAUUUCUCCUAAAAAAUUUGGAAAAAUUUUGUGAUGAAGAAGCUACCUGGGCCUGAAGAUAUCUUUUCUGGACAAAGUAAAUGAAUGAUUGAAGACCUGCAAACUGUGUUUGUAACGACUUUCUAAGAUUGAUAGCCUCCGUGUUUCAAUGCUCAUGGAGCAGAUGGAUAUGACUGACACUGCCCUUAAUACUACAGCAUGAUCCAAAGCAUCACCAAAGUCUUCAAAGAGAAAGUAAAAAAAAAAAAAUGCC